rnacentral:lncRNA from 1 species
GAAAGCUCAGACAAUAGGAGGAAAUGUAGCAAGAUUCCCUUUCAUCUCCCAACGGCAGUUUGGGGCUGCACGUGUCCGCCGAAUCCAAGGGCAAAGGGCCUGCGGUGAGGAGCCCACAUUUUGAACUGAAGAAGUGAGCACCACAGCUUUGGGGUCACGAAAAGCCAGAGUGGCAUCUCUGGCCUUGGAGCCUUACUCUCCUCUUCUAUAAAAGAGACCCGAUGGCACCUCCCCUAAGGGUUGUGAACACCGCAUAAGACCUUGUAGGUGAAGUGGCUUUACAGGACGGUGGUGAGGAUCAAACGGAAUGAGAUAUGUGGACAUGCCUUGGAAACUGUACAAUGUCAGCUCUCUGUCUUCUCACCUGCCUCCCGGGCCCUCCUGCGCUGAGUGGAAAGCAGCCGCUCCUGGCAGCGCCCAGGGGGCUGCAGUCAGCAUCUCACAGAGGAAACCAGUCUGCCCCUGACUUUCUCUGUGUGAUACAAGGGCCAUUUUGUUGAAGACCGUGUUCUGCUGACUCCUAAGAAGCGCCUCUCACCCCGACAGCUCGGGCGGACUUCAGCCACGGAGCCCGGGACCGGGUCGUCCUCCGGAGCAGCGUGCCGGACCCCGCGCUGCCUCCUCCCAGCCCCUCGGGUGCAGACGGGACUCCCGCCGGAUACGGGUCCUUGGAGGAAACGGGAGAGAAAUUCCACUUUGGCUCCAGCGAUCCGGCCCACAAAGGAGCCAGGGAAAAAGCUGAGCGAGAAGAGCGACCGCAAGCCCCCUUGCCGGAUUCCGGCAGACGCCACGGGGAGAAUCGGGAACAGAAAAACCUGGGCCAGAGAAGAAAGGGCCUUCGCGGAGCUGUGCAGACACAACGCAAGAACACAUGCAACCAGCGCAAGGCAAGGCCGGCUGCGCUGCCUUAGAAUUCAGAGGAGAAGGCGCUCACCGCAGGCCGGGGCGGGCAGGGGAGGCAGCCUUGACCUCAGCCCUGAAGACCCGGCGCUCCUGGCCUCCUUCCCCGCCUCGGCAUCACCUGCUGCUGGAUUUCACCUUAAUAAUAGCUGGUAGCACGUACUGAGCACUUACAAUGUCGGGCUUUAUGAGCAUUUUCUCGUUAGUCUUCACAGAAAAUUAGAGUGUAUCCCCAGAGCCUAGAGAAAGAGUCUUUCACAGAAUGGGGACUCGAACCAUAUUGAAUGAAUGAAGGAAUGAGGAGGAGGAGCAAAACUGAGUUAGGCGUUACUAUUCACAUUUUCCAGGUCAAGAAUGUAAGGUUCAGAGAAGUGAAGUCUUGGACAGGUAUUAACCACCCGCUGAAGGAUCUAUGACUACUGGACACUUUCCAGGAGCUUCCAACAUGCUUAGACUUGUUUGUUAAAUUUGCGUGAAUAUGUGAUAUGGAUAUUCAUACAUUCACGCAAUCAUUCGUUCAUUUGUGAAUGUUAAUUAAAUGCCUCUAUGUACC